GUAACGGCGAGUGAAGAGGGAAGAGCUCAAAUUUGAAAGCUGGUACCUCCGGUAUCCGCGUUGUAACCUCGAGACACGUUUUCCGUGCGGCGCUAUGGACAAGUUCCUUGGAACAGGACAUCGUAGAGGGUGAAAAUCCCGUACUUGCCAUGGAUGUACCGUGCUUUGCGAUACGUGCUCUAAGAGUCGAGUUGUUUGGGAUUGCAGCUCAAAAUGGGUGGUAGACUCCAUCUAAAGCUAAAUAUCGGGGAGAGACCGAUAGCGAACAAGUACCGUGAGGGAAAGAUGAAAAGCACUUUGGAAAGAGAGUUAAAAGUACGUGAAAUUGUCGAAAGGGAAGCGCUUGAAGUCAGCCAUGCCGCUCAGGACUCAGCCUGGCUUUUGCUUGGUGUAUUUCCUGGGUAGCAAGUCAGCAUUGGUUUGGAUCGUCGGAGAAGCAUAGUCGGAAUGUGGCGCCCUCGGGCGUGUUAUAGCCUUCUAUUGGAUACGACGAUCUAGACCAAGGAACGCAGCGCGCCUU
rnacentral:rRNA from 1 species